CACGUAGGCACCAAGCGUUAUCCGGAUUUAUUGGGCGUAAAGAGCUCGUAGGCGGUUCGGUAAGUCGGGUGUGAAAACUCUGGGCUCAACCCAGAGAGGCCACCCGAUACUGCUGUGACUAGAGUGCGGUAGGGGAGCGGGGAAUUCCUGGUGUAGCGGUGAAAUGCGUAGAGAUCAGGAAGAACACCGGUGGCGAAGGCGCUCUGCUAGGCCGCAACUGACACUGAGGGACGAAAGCUAGGGGAGCGAAUGGG
rnacentral:rRNA from 1 species